rnacentral:rRNA from 1 species
UACGGAGGUGGCAGGCGUUACUCGGAUUGAUUGGGUGUAAAGGGCGUGUAGGUGGUGAAUUAAGUCGAGUGUGAAAUCCCUUGGCUCAACCAAGGAACUGCAUUCGAAACUGAUUUACUUGAGGGAUGGAGAGGAAGAUGGAAUUCCCGGUGUAACAGUGAAAUGUGUAGAUAUCGGGAGGAACACCAGUGGCGAAGGCGAUCUUCUGGCCAUCAUCUGACACUGAAACGCGAGAGCUAGGGGAGCAAACAGG